rnacentral:rRNA from 1 species
AACGAACGCUGGCGGCAUGCCUAACACAUGCAAGUCGAACGAAGGCUUCGGCCUUAGUGGCGCACGGGUGCGUAACGCGUGGGAAUCUGCCCUUAGGUUCGGAAUAACAGUUAGAAAUGACUGCUAAUACCGGUUGAUGACGUAAGUCCAAAGAUUUAUCGCCUGAGGAUGAGCCCGCGUAGGAUUAGCUAGUUGGUGUGGUAAAGGCGCACCAAGGCGACGAUCCUUAGCUGGUCUGAGAGGAUGAUCAGCCACACUGGGACUGAGACACGGCCCAGACUCCUACGGGAGGCAGCAGUGGGGAAUAUUGGGCGAUGGGCGCAAGCCUGAUCCAGCAAUGCCGCGUGAGUGAUGAAGGCCUUAGGGUUGUAAAGCUCUUUUACCCGUGAUGAUAAUGACAGUAGCGGGAGAAUAAGCCCCGGCUAACUCCGUG